rnacentral:rRNA from 1 species
GAUGAACGCUGGCGGCGUGCCUAAUACAUGCAAGUCGAGCGAACGGACGAGAAGCUUGCUUCUCUGAUGUUAGCGGCGGACGGGUGAGUAAAACGUGGAUAACCUACCUAUAAGACUGGGAUAACUUCGGGAAACCGGAGCUAAUACCGGAUAAUAUUUUGAACCGCAUGGUUCAAAAGUGAAAGACGGUCUUGCUGUCACUUAUAGAUGGAUCCGCGCUGCAUUAGCUAGUUGGUAAGGUAACGGCUUACCAAGGCAACGAUGCAUAGCCGACCUGAGAGGGUGAUCGGCCAAACUGGAACUGAGACACGGUCCAGACUCCUACGAGAGGCAGCAGUAGGGAAUCUUCCGCAAUGGGCGAAAGCCUGACGGAGCAACGCCGCGUGAGUGAUGAAGGUCUUCGGAUCGUAAAACUCUGUUAUUAGGGAAGAACAUAUGUGUAAGUAACUGUGCACAUCUUGACGGUACCUAAUCAGAAAGCCACGGCUAACUACGUG